rnacentral:rRNA from 1 species
AUUGAACGCUGGCGGCAUGCUUUACACAUGCAAGUCGAACGGUAACAGGCCUUCGGGUGCUGACGAGUGGCGAACGGGUGAGUAAUGCAUCGGAACGUACCCAGAGGUGGGGGAUAACGCAGCGAAAGCUGUGCUAAUACCGCAUGUGAUCUGAGGAUGAAAGCGGGGGACCGAGCAGCAAUGUUUGGCCUCGCGCCUUUGGAGCGGCCGAUGUCGGAUUAGCUAGUUGGUGGGGUAAAGGCCUACCAAGGCGACGAUUCGUAGCUGGUCUGAGAGGACGACCAGCCACACUGGGACUGAGACACGGCCCAGACUCCUACGGGAGGCAGCAGUGGGGAAUUUUGGACAAUGGGCGCAAGCCUGAUCCAGCAAUGCCGCGUGCGGGAAGAAGGCCUUCGGGUUGGAAACCGCUUUUGGCAGGAACGAAACGGUGUCCGCUAAUACCGGGCGCUAAUGACGGUACCUGCAGAAUAAGCACCGGCUAACUACGUG